CGGAAAACUUUUCUGCCAGAUUCCUCACGGCUCUCCGGUCGGUGGGUGGAGGGCUCUGCGGAGAAGUUAUUGUUGACUUCGUUUUUGGCGUUACAUACGAUGUUCAGAGGGAGAUGAUACCACAUCUGGUCCAGCUGAUGGAAGGUCUUGAAGUUCUCUGACUGGCCUCGACUGAAGAUGGUCGUCUCUCUGGAUUUAAGAUGCACAAUGAGGGACGUCUGCAGAGACUGAGAAAGAGUCUCACCACAUCCUGACAUGAGGAAAAAGAUUGAAGACUACAAUGAGAAAAACUAUCAGACAGCAGACGGCUGCAUUCAAGUCUGUAGCUGCUGAAUUCAUGGAUGAAUCAUCUGGAACUAGAGAAGAAGACCAUCAAACACCACGUCAGCUACUGAAUGUUCCUGUGGUCCCCUCAAGGCUACAGGAGGAGUCCUACGAGGACGAGCCGGUCCACUUGAUGGCGGCCAGUCGCUGUGGUUCAAAGCCAACACUGACUACGUGGACUUCUACUGGACCACACGGAGACCUUCAAACUGGACCAACAAGUUCAGCGACUCCCCGACUCGUGGGUCUGAGGACGCCGUCGAGCCUCGGUCCAGCUGGCCUCCUGUCUGUGGGUGUUUGAGUGCUGAGAGGUUUGUGGAUGCAUGUGAACAUGUCUGUGUUGAAACUGCUGAAUGACGGCUCGGGUUGCUUUGACAGCUUUUGACUAAGUAAUGCCGGUAAAAACAAAGUGCUCCUUUAUUUGUGACUUCCAUACUAAAAAAAAAACUGAUGAAAAUAAGUUUGCCAGGUCUCUGACUGAUAACAGAUUAUUAAAUAAUGAAAAUAAUAGUUUAAAUGUUCCUUUAACCCUUUAAUGUCCCACGAAGAAAAAAAGCAAUGAAAAAAUUCUUUCUUUAUAUUUCUUAUUUCCUUGGGGCACUAAUAACAAUCAAUGUUUUUUUUUAUAUGAAUAGACCCAGCAGUUUUUGACAUAUUGACCUCUACCAAACGGGUGAGAUGUUGUUUCAUAGUAAAGUGUGAUUCAAGCAUCUGCAUACAUUUUAAUGUAUUUAACUGAAAUAAAAGACAUUUCUGUGCCUAAAUAACUCUUUCUAGUUUCAAAAUUGAAGAAAUUAUAAUAGCCAAUGUCUCGAAAUAAAUUUACUUUCACACUUUGGCCACCAGAAAUCAGAAA